CAGGUUUACCUGUGUGACUGCGUACCUUUUGUAUAAUGGGUCAGCGACUUAUAUUCUGUAGCAAGGUUAACCGAAUAGGGGAGCCGGAGGGAAACCGAGUCUUAACCGGGCGUUAAGUUGCAGGGUAUAGACCCGAAACCCGGUGAUCUAGCCAUGGGCAGGUUGAAGGUUGGGUAACACUAACUGGAGGACCGAACCGACUAAUGUUGAAAAAUUAGCGGAUGACCUGUGGCUGGGGGUGAAAGGCCAAUCAAACCGGGAGAUAGCUGGUUCUCCCCGAAAGCUAUUUAGGUAGCGCCUCGUGAAUUCAUCUCCGGGGGUAGAGCACUGUUUCGGCUAGGGGGCCAUCCCGGCUUACCAACCCGAUGCAAACUGCGAAUACCGGAGAAUGUUAUCACGGGAGACACACGGCGGGUGCUAACGUCCGUCGUGAAGAGGGAAACAACCCAGACCGCCAGCUAAGGUCCCAAAGUCAUGGUUAAGUGGGAAACGAUGUGGGAAGGCCCAGACAGCCAGGAUGUUGGCUUAGAAGCAGCCAUCAUUUAAAGAAAGCGUAAUAGCUCACUGGUCGAGUCGGCCUGCGCGGAAGAUGUAACGGGGCUAAACCAUGCACCGAAGCUGCGGCAGCGACACUGUGUGUUGUUGGGUAGGGGAGCGUUCUGUAAGCCUGUGAAGGUGUGUCGUGAGGCAUGCUGGAGGUAUCAGAAGUGCGAAUGCUGACAUAAGUAACGAUAAAGCGGGUGAAAAGCCCGCUCGCCGGAAGACCAAGGGUUCCUGUCCAACGUUAAUCGGGGCAGGGUGAGUCGACCCCUAAGGCGAGGCCGAAAGGCGUAGUCGAUGGGAAACGGGUUAAUAUUCCCGUACUUGGUGUUACUGCGAAGGGGGGACGGAGAAGGCUAUGUUGGCCGGGCGACGGUUGUCCCGGUUUAAGCGUGUAGGUGUGUGUUCCAGGUAAAUCCGGUUCACUUUAACACUGAGGCGUGACGACGAGGCACUACGGUGCUGAAGCAACAAAUGCCCUGCUUCCAGGAAAAGCCUCUAAGCAUCAGGUAACAUCAAAUCGUACCCCAAACCGACACAGGUGGUCAGG
rnacentral:rRNA from 1 species